CUAAUCAUUAACAGUCUAAAGAGUUUAUAACUACACAAUAUAUAUUAAAGAAUGACAGACCAAUGGAUAUGUUAAAAGUGAUUUAUUUAUGAACAAGGUAAACAUUACUUACACAUUUUCAUUUGCUACUACGUGUUUUAGCUUAAUGUGAGACAGAGUGAGAAAGAAACAGAGAGAGAGAGAGAGAGAGAGAGCGACCUUAGUGUUAUGUCCAGCUUGUUGAACAAAUUUUCUGUAUUGCCCACAUUGCAUGGCUGCUUGUCAGGUAGUGGAAGGUGGUCUCCCAUUUACUCAAAUAUCGGCAUAAUGUCCUCGGUUUUGGUUGGUGAUUAAUUCGGUGAUUUUGGCCGUCGGCGGCCUGAUCUAUCAUCGCACAUCACACUCAUCUACUCUACACUCGAAGUUCACUUCCCGCUACUUUUUCCGUCUUCAUCCCGCCGAGAAGGGUAUUCCUGCACAACCGGAGGCUGCAGUUUCAGGACCACGGUUCUAGGACCGCAGUUCUAGGACCCUAGUUUUUUUGUGACAGCGCCACCUACCGUACUGGAUCAACACUAAUUAAAGAUGGACGACGUGGACAUCAAUCAGACGUGAAGUGGAAGAAUUUAAUAGAAAGAUUGACAAACAAUUGAGGAAAGAAGAGAGAUCAUUCAAUUGAGUUGAAGCCUACAGCCAUUCUAUCCAUGCAGCAACUAAUGGAAAAGGGGUUCGCUUUGGUGCUGUUGUGAUGUUGUCGCAAAAAUGACGUGUG
ensembl:lncRNA